AUUUGGGUGGAGGGGCUGCAAUGCGAUGGGGUGCAAGUUGGUCUUGGAGCAGGGCAGAGGUGGGGUGGGGGAGGAAUGAAUUACGAAGAGGCAGGGGUGGGGUACGAGUUGGCCUUGGAGCAGGGCAAGGCAGGGGUGGGGAGGAAUGAAUUACGAAGAGGUGGGGGUGGGGCUGCUUACAGGAGAGGGCGAGGGUCAAGUGUUCUUGGAUCUCGAUCGAAGCAAUCUUGAUCAAGAAGCUGCUUUGGCUGUUCCGGAAACCAUAAAUGGCUAUUAGAUGCACAAGGUAACGCGAGGAUCCGCGAAUAUCCUUCGAACUCGAAGGAUAUCCUAUAACAGGGAGUGUCUCCUACCUUUUCUUUUAAUUUACGCUUUAAAUUUAUUUUAUUUUCUUGCAUAUCCCGGGACUUGCAUGCAUUAAUUUUGUUCCUAAAUUUUAUACUAACUUGUUUUUUAAGUGUUUUUAUUUUGUAGGUAAAGCUUAUGGGAGACGAGAGGAUCGGCGAAUAUCCUUCGAACUCGAAGGAUAUCUCAUAAUAGGGAGUAUCUCCUACUUUUUCUUUUAAUUUACGCUUUCCAUUUAUUUUAUUUUCUUGCAUAUCCCGGGACUUGCAUGCAUUAAUUUUGUUCCUAAAUUUUAUACUAACUUGUUUUUUAAGUGUUUUUAUUUAUUAGGUAAAGCUUACGGGAGACGAGAGGAUCCGCAAAUAUCAUUCGAAUCCGAUUUCAAACUCAAGAUGCAUACGAGAGGGAGUGGCCGGAUGAUCGGACGACCGAAUAUAUCAUAUGGAGUAAUUCGUCCCUUUCCUUUUACAUUGAUGCAUUUAAUUUAAUUUAGCAUUAUGUAUAUAGAAAUAGAUUUAUUUUUACGUCGGUCCCGAGACAUGUAUGCAUUUUAUUUUGUUGCUUUUAGCGUUUUGAGUUUGUAGGUAAAGCUUAUAGCGAGAUUAGAGGAUCCGCAAAGAUCCUUCGAUCUCGAUUUCAAACACAUGAUGCAUACGAGAGAGAAUGGUCGGAUGAUCCACCGAACAUAUAACAGGGAGUUUUUCGUUAUUUUUCUUUUACAUUUAUGUUUUGCAUUUGUUUUAGCUUCUUGCAUAUAGUAAUAGAAUCAUGUUUACGUCCCGGGACUUGUAUGCAUUAAUUUUUUUAAAAUUCUUAAUUAUCAAUAAACAUAUUUUUUCCUAACUAUGUCAAUUUAGACUAAUAUAACUUAUUUUCUAAUUAAAAAAAACACAAAAUUUAAUUAAAACUUAAUAUA